rnacentral:tRNA from 1 species
UCCCUGGUGGUCUAGUGGCUAGGAUUCGACGCUCUCACCGCCCGCGGCUCGGGUUCGAUUCCCCCGGUCAGGGAA